GUACAUUGGUUAAAUGAGUCCAUGUAUGCAAAUUUCUAAAAACAAUGCUAGGCACUGAGGAAGCACUCCAUAAAUAUCAGCUCUUAAUUUCUUAUUUAAUCUGCACAUGUUCAAUACUAUCUGACAAGGUAGGUAUUAUUAUGUUGCACCAUAGUGAAGACACUGUGCUCAAGGAGGUGAAGCUUGAAGCAAUUGGUUCAAAGUGACCCAGCCAGUUAGUUUCUGAAAUCAGAUUUGCCCCUUCUCCUGCAACCACUCCCCACUACACCUGAUUUCAGAAUAUACCUGAUACAGAUUUUGUGACUUAAAAAAAAAAUAUGUGCCCCAAUAAUAUGGAAACCUAAGCCUAUUUCAGACAUAUGGCAUAAUGUACAGUCCAUGCGAAUAGGAGAACACACCCAUUAAAUGCUCCUCACCUGUUAAAAAGGAACAUUCAGUAUAGAGGGUCUUACUACCUGCCAGCACGAACCAAUAAAAAAUAAUUAAAUACACAUCUCAUGUAAAGUUGCCUCAAAACUAUAAAGUACUUAGAAAUAUAGCUAAAAAAACGUAUAUGAUAUAUAUGUAGAAAAAAAUUUUGAUUUACUGAAUGGGGCAAAUGAGGAGCUAUGAAAAUGAUGGAGAUAUAUACAAUAUUAAUGUUAAUGUGUGAAUUUAAUUAGUUGAUAAAUAUAAAGCAAUACCAAUAUCUCAACAGCGCUUUUCAUAGAAUGUAACAACUUAAGCUUAAAUUCAUGGAAAAAUAUAGAAACAAGGAAUGUAAGAAAAUUCAGAGGAAUGAGAGGAAAUAAAUAAAUUAGAACUAUAGGUAUAAUCAGACCAAUGGAUUAGGAUAGAAAGCCCAGAAAUAAAUACAUUCACAAGUGGAAACAAUCUAUAAAAGAAUGGCAUUAGGAAGUGCUGCCUUUUUAAAAUAAAUGAUGGAAAAAACAGUUUCCUAUAAGGAACAUAACUUUAAAAUUUAAGGAAAUAAUCUCUCCCUAACCCUUGUAAAAAAUGCUGUAUUUUUUCUUCUGUAAGAAAAAAAAAAGUGAUCAUAAAUUUAAAGAUUAAUAUAUUCAAUCAAAUAUAUUACAAACUUCAAAGCAAAAGACCCACAAGAAAAAUUAAAGGUCAAACAACAGAAUAGGUUAAGAUUAUUUUUUUAUCUUAUUUUAUUUUGCUUUUUAAGGCCACACGUGUGGCAUAUGGAAGUUCCAGGCUAUGGGUCAAAUCUGAGCUGCAGCUGCUGGCCUACACCACAGCCACAGCAAUGCUGGAUCUGAGCCACAUCUGUGACCUAUACCACAGCUCACAGCAAUGCCAGAUUCUUAGCCCACCGAGCGAGGCCAAGGAUCGAACACGUAUACUCAUGGAUCCUAGUCAGAUUCAUUACCACUGAGCUACAAUAGGAACUCCCAAGAUUAUUUAAAUAAUAUAAUGGAUAAAGAAUGACAACCAAAAUUCUGACUAAUAAACAAAAAGAAGAUUAAUAGAUGAGAAAAAUGGUCAUAGGAUACGAACAGCCACUUGAAAGAAAAGGAAAGAAAGAUGGGCAAUAAACUUUGAAAUGAUAUUCAGCUUCACUGGUAGUGAGGGGAACACAAAUAAAAUAAUAAUAAAAGACAAUUUCCUACAUUUUUGUUUUAUGAAACUUCAAAAAAGCCUAGAACUCCAGAUGUUGGGAAGGCUGUGAAGAAAUGGUAUCUUAUUCUGGUGGAAGUGAAACUGGAACAGACACUUUGAAGACCUAUUUGGCUCUAUCCAUUGUGCAUAUCCAAAAGAAACUAAUUCAUGCUGACACAUGUAAUUAAUUUUAAAUGUAAGAAUGUUCAACUUAGUACUGACAGUGAUGUCAAUAUCAUGAAAUAAUUUGUUUCCAACAACAGGGGGAAUGACAAGUUGUGGGAAAAUUGUAUAAUGAAUAUUAUACAACUAUUUCUUAAAUAUCCCUAGAUAUUGGUUAGAUAUAUGGUUUUGAGUGGGGGGAAAAGUUAAAUUCCAAAAUGAGAACAUUUGCGGGUGUUUUUGAAAACCUACAAAUUAUUACAAUGUAUUUCAUAUAAUAAAAAUAUCACAGGGAAGACUAGGGAGCUAUCCAUCAUUUCGGAAUAGUGACGCAUUUUGGAGAUGGGAAGAAAAGCUUUAGGUACUCAUCUGUAUUCUCGAUACAGUGUCUUAUAAAGUUUGCAUUCAUCAAGCAUCUCAUCAUGAAUUCAUGUUAGUAAAGACUCUAGUGACUCAAAUUCUUUUCUUCUUUAUUGAUGAUGGUGACUUGACCCACUUUUAAAGAGAUUUCAGCUCAUUUCUAUUAAAAGUUUCUUUGGGAAAAUUCAAUGAAGCAGAACCUUUCCAUAACCACUAAAGUUGGCAAGUUGCCAUUAUUAAAAUUGUUACCAUAUUGUAAUGAAUUUCUGGUAGCUGUGUUAAUCAAAUUGCAAGAAAAUGUCAUUCCCUUAAAGGAAAUAUUCAGUUUCACCAGCCUGUAAAUCUGGAUUAACUAUUUUAAGUCACUGGUUCAAACUGAAAUCCAGUACCUGGUUCUUAAUAAUCAACUGCAGAUAAAUCAGUUUGAAUCACAGUCACUUGACUAUCCUAAGAGACACUGUUAAUAUUAAAAUACUCAAUGGCACCUGCUUAGUAGGUUUGAAUUCAUACGCUAUUUCCAGUUUCUUUGUAAGUAUGCCAAGUGUUUUCAAAUGAAUCCCCUGGGAAAAUGACCUAUCAGUAAUUUUUUCCUGCAUUUUCUCAGGCUGAUAGGAGAGCAGGUCUUUGAUCGUGCUGACUAAGGGCUGCACUUCUUAGUUUUCUAAGUACAGAGAAACCUUAUUCUUGGGCAGCUAGGCUGAGCUUCGUGCCAAUGGUGGAUAGUUUUAUGUCUUCCAUAAAGCUUUAAAAGCUGAAACCGUGGUUUAUAGGUUGGAGGAAUAGAGAAUGUCUUAACAUUUUAAUUAAAAUUAUGUUAGGCUAUUUUUAAUUUUAUCCUUUGGAAUGCCAGUAAUUUGUUUCUUUCUAUUACUUUUCUUAACUAAAUCUUCCCUUCCCACUCAAACUCUCCUCCCACACCCUACCCCCAAAAGUACAGAGAAAAUAACUGUGGUUCUUUCACAGAGGAAUAUUUUGUUUCCAUUAUCUGAAGUAAAAAACUAAUAGUAAUAAAGUCAUCAUCUUCAAUGAAUUAAGACAGAAGUCAUUGUUCUUUUUUGUUUCUGAGUGGUGGAAAACAAGUGUUAUUCAGAAAUAUCAUAUGCUAAGAUGAUGGAAAACAUUAGGGUAAUGGAUUUCACAUCACAAAAUCUAGGGAGGAAAAAUUCCUUCUUGUGGGAUGUGUUAAGUUUCUUUUUCCAGAGAGGACACAAGAUCCACUAAGAUGAAAGCAAAGCCAGAGUGCCUGUAAUAGCAGCAAAGUUCAUUUAUUUAUUUUCUCUGAGGCAAAGAAAGAAAUAUGACAAAUUAAUUUUAAUUUUCUAAAUUAUCCAAUUAAUUCUAAUUUCAAUCAGAUUUAAUUUUCUGAUUGAAUUUCCCUGUAUAAUGAUGUUAUCCUUGCAUUUAGAAAUAAAUCAAUUUCAAUUAAAAAAAAACUGUUUAAUUGUUUGACUCUGGUCCAUCAUAUCAUCAUUGAGAAUUGAUUUCCCUACCUGUGAAGUGUGGCUUUAACAACCUUAUAGAGGAAUUAUAAAAUUUAGCUGUUGGGAGAAAAAGAACUGGUCUAAGAGAGGAAAAAUCCAAACAUUUUCAGAAGUUUAGGGGAUCACUGGAAUAUGACUUCCAAGGUGAGCAGAGGGUGGA
rnacentral:lncRNA from 1 species